rnacentral:rRNA from 1 species
GACGAACGCUGGCGGCGUGCUUAACACAUGCAAGUCGAACGAUGAUCCGGUGCUUGCACCGGGGAUUAGUGGCGAACGGGUGAGUAACACGUGAGUAACCUGCCCUUGACUCUGGGAUAAGCCUGGGAAACCGGGUCUAAUACCGGAUAUGACUUCUCACCGCAUGGUGGGGGGUGGAAAGAUUUUUUGGUUUUGGAUGGACUCGCGGCCUAUCAGCUUGUUGGUGGGGUAAUGGCCUACCAAGGCGACGACGGGUAGCCGGCCUGAGAGGGUGACCGGCCACACUGGGACUGAGACACGGCCCAGACUCCUACGGGAGGCAGCAGUGGGGAAUAUUGCACAAUGGGCGCAAGCCUGAUGCAGCGACGCCGCGUGAGGGAUGACGGCCUUCGGGUUGUAAACCUCUUUCAGCAGGGAAGAAGCGGAAGUGACGGUACCUGCAGAAGAAGCGCCGGCUAACUACGUGCCAGCAGCCGCCGAGUAAAAC